GCCCAGCCCCUCUUCUUCCUCUUUAUCCUCCAGUCCCACCCCGCCACCUUCCCCAAACUCCAGUCCUAUACCUCUCCCUAUACGCAGAUUUGGAACCUGUUACUCACCUGUUUCAUCUACCUUUCCAUCUAACCGUGCACUUAACUAAAUACAAAUCAAGUGCCAGGCCCUUUGGCAAGCUCUGAGGAUCUAGUUGGGAGUAAGACAGAUUCCCCAGUUUUCACCCAUUCAACAAAUACUUAUUGCACAUCUACUAUGUGCCUGGCAUGGUGCUGGGCACUGAAGAUACACCAGGAAGUAGAUCCAGUCCUUCCUUUUCUCCCUCCCGCUCUCUUGGUCAUUCAUUCAUUCAUUCACUCACUCUCUCACAAACCUCUGUUUGUACUGACCUGGUUGCACAGCCUGGUGCAUUUUGCUGACCCCUUCAUUUUUGACAGAACCUGGCACAUGUUUCAGUGCUCAGUGCUGUUUACAGAGCUCGGCAGCAGACUUUGUCACACUUCAUGCUGUUUGUAGAGUGCCUCACUGUUGCCAGGCCCUGGCCUGUGACCCCAAAGUUCUGGCUCUAGCAGAUAGGCAGACAGACAGAUGGACAGACAUAGACUACUGAGCUCUACUUUCCAGCCUGCUCUCUCCCACCCUACUUUUUCCCAGAGGCUUGUUGGCACCGUGGAUUGCACUUUCAGCUCCCCACCUGUCCGUCUGCAAAGUGGCCUCAUUGGUGUGCCAUUUUUACUGGUCCAGUCCCAACUACAAGGGGCAUGGCUUGGCCAUCUACCCCAGUUCCUCUCCAUGUCCCCAUGGCUCUCAAGUGUCUCCAAUUCCAGCUGUCCCAGCUGCCCCGGGCAAGAGGAGGUGUGUGUGGCAAGUCUGCUGGGUUACCUAUUAACUCAGCUGUGAGUUGAAGAGCCGAUGGGCAGCAGGCAGACUUGAGUCUCCUUUCUGUCCAUGAGCUCGGGCCACUGUAUCAGGUCCACCCGUGGCUCCAAAAUGGUCUCCUGGUCCGUGAUAGCAAAGAUCCAGGAAAUAUGAUGCGAGGAAGAUGAGAGGAAGAUGGCGCGAGAGUUCCUGGCCGAGUUCAUGAGCACAUAUGUCAUGAUGGUGAGUGGGCGGGCAGCACGAAGUGGGUGGGCUCUGCCAGGGCCUUCCAUGACCCCCUCCCCAUUCUGACCCCAUGGGUCACAUUGUCCAUUCCUUGCCUCUGAGCUGGGAGCCUGGGGAAGCAGCGAGGAAAGUAAGGGGGGGGGGGCUUUCUCAUCAAGUCUUUUUGGACAGAAAGGGCUCAUAAUAUGUGGGGGUCAAAUGAAACCAUGCACUGGGGUAUCCGGGGCAAGGCUGGAAAUGGGGAGAAGGGAAACCCAGAGUAAAGAGAUUGAAGAGGCCCAGGUGCAGUGGCUCAUGCCUGUAAUUCCAGCACUUUGGGAGGCUUAGGCAAGUGGAUCACCUGAGGUCAGGAGUUCGAAACCAGCCUGGCCAACAUGGUGAAACCCCGUCUCUACUAAAAAUACAAAAAUUAGCUGGGCAUGGUGGCGGACACCUGUAACCUCAGUUAUUCAGGAGGCUGAGGCAGGAGAAUCGCUUGAGCCCAGGAGGUGGAGGUUGCAGUGAGCUGAGAUCACACCAUUGCACUCCAGCCUGGGUGACAGGAGCAAAACUCUGUCUCAAAAAAAAAAAAAAAAAAGAAAAAAGAGAGAGAGAUUGAAGAGAAACUUGAUGAUCAGGCUCUGAUAAUGAAUCCAGAGGGCAAUGGGCGAUGUUGAAGGCUGGCAAGCAGGGGAGUGACAUGAUCAGAUUUGGAUUUUAAAGGUAAUUUUGGGUGCAGUGUGGAGCAUAAGCAGGACAGGCAAGGCUGGCAAGAAGGAACCAGUUAAGAGGCUGUUUUUGAUCUGGGACAGAGAGAGGGUGAUGACUGAUCUGGGGUUGGAGAAGAAAGCACAUGUUUGAGAGGGCUGUGGAAGAUGGAAUCGGGGAGACUCUGCCAGAAGAACAUGUGGGCAAAGCGCCGAUGAGCUGUUCUGGAGCACGGGGCCCAGCACAGGGUGAGAGGCAAGAUGCCUGUAGGGAAAUCCAGGAGAUAGUUAAACACAGGCAAGGGGCUGGAGCUCAGGAGAGGCUUGGUCUGGAAGGAAAAAGUUGAAGUUCAUCACAACACAGGUGGUGGUUGUCAACACUGUCUAGAAGGAGUGUACAGAAAGAGAAAAGGAUGGUUUGAGGACAGAGCCCUGAGGAAUGAAGAGGGGCACGCAAAGGAGCCUGAGAAGGAAUGGUCAGAGAGGUGGGAGGAGAACCAGAGCCGACUGCAUGACAGAGGGGGGCAGUGGUUCCACCAGGAAGAAGCCAUCAGCGGCAUGGGCAGCGGCAGAUGGGCCACGCAAGAACAUACAUAUGAUAGUUGAGAAAGACACAUAUUCUGAUCAUGAAGAAAUAAACACAAGUUAAAUAUGACUAAGCAGAAAGAUGGAAGGACCAGGAACAGUGAUGCUAACUUGGAACCACGAUGCAGGCUCUAAUCUCCUCUACAAUCAUCCUCCCUUGUGAGAAAAAUACAUAAGAUCUAAGGCACAUGAGAUGAUACGCUUUCUGUUUGAGUUUCUCCUUUAUGUUACGCAUACUGAUAAAAUUGUUGACGCCAGUUGAUCUGAAGGUCCCAGCAAGGAGCCGACUCACAGAAGAAUGCAGUUUUCACAUCGUGAUGAUUUAAUCUUCCUUGACCUGAGCAAUUGACAACCCCAAUUCUCCAGAACCUCACCCGCCACAAUCCCCUUAAAAACCCUGGUCCAGAACCCCUCAAGCAGACAGAUUUGAAGCUUGAGGAUUCCUUCAUCUCUUUGCCCAAUGGCAUUGUGAUUAUUAAACUCUUUUUCUGCUGCAAAUUAUGAUGUCUCAGUGUAUUGGUCUAUUGCUGCUCAGUGGGCAUAUGAAUCUGGCAGUCCUGUAACAGGGACAAAAGAUAAACUACUGGCAAAACACUCGUAAAAGUCAUAACCUAAGACAUAGGCCCACUGAAAGGCGGAUAUUCAAUCAGAGCACUAUAGAACAUAUUUCUCUGCUCAUACCAUAAAAUUUAAACCAACAUGACUCCAAUAUAAGGAGACAGACAAAAGAGCUAUAAGAAACAGACACUGUUUGAAGAUGAGUACUUAAGGAAACCUAAAGUUAAGGGAGGAGACAAAAACAAGGACACUAGAGGAAUUUGAAACCUUCAGAAACUUGAGCUAUAACAAAUAUUAAAUGCAGUUCAACUCCAAGACAGAUUAACAUAUAUCCUCAAUUAACUUUAUCUCAGUAUCAAUUUAUCUCAGCAUCAAUUUAUCUCAAUAUCUAUUAUGGAUACCACAUGUCUGGCUCUCAACAAUGGCAACAAAAUUACAAAACAUGGUAAAAGGCAAGAAAAAAAUUAACAAUCUGAAGAGACAGGAUGAUCAUCAGAA
rnacentral:lncRNA from 1 species